GAUGAACGCUGGCGGCGUGCUUAACACAUGCAAGUCGAACGGAAAGGCCCAAGCUUGCUUGGGUACUCGAGUGGCGAACGGGUGAGUAACACGUGGGUGAUCUGCCCUGCACUUCGGGAUAAGCCUGGGAAACUGGGUCUAAUACCGGAUAGGACGAUGGUUUGGAUGCCAUUGUGGAAAGUUUUUUCGGUGUGGGAUGAGCUCGCGGCCUAUCAGCUUGUUGGUGGGGUAAUGGCCUACCAAGGCGUCGACGGGUAGCCUGCCUGAGAGGGUGUACGGCCACAUUGGGACUGAGAUACGGCCCAGACUCCUACGGGAGGCAGCAGUGGGGAAUAUUGCACAAUGGGCGCAAGCCUGAUGCAGCGACGCCGCGUGGGGGAUGACGGCCUUCGGGUUGUAAACUCCUUUCGCUAGGGACGAAGCGUUUUUGUGACGGUACCUGGAGAAGAAGCACCGGCUAACUACGUG
rnacentral:rRNA from 1 species